UUCGCGCGGGGGAGAGUUGACAGAUCUGACGAUAGUUUGGACGGCCGUCAGUCUCCGGCGAGGUGGGCCGUGGAACAGAAUCGGUGUUCCCCGUCUGAUCCGUGGACCAGGACAAUCGCUGAGGACUGCGGGUACGGUGUGGGCCAUUUGGGGGAAGCUGAGGACUGCGGCACAGAGGCGAUGAGCGCCGGCGGCGAGACAACAUGGAGUUCUGAUGCAGCCUAUCAGCAGUUUCAGAUCCAGUCUGCUGGAGGAGGUCGGGGAGAGCUUGGUGCCGGCUGCUAGUUGUCGUUGUCUUUGGUGUGGGGGAUUUGUAGGCGGUACCGCGGGCUGAGGCGACGCGGCACACCAGCGGACAGCGGAUAGCGGUGGUGAGCACAAGGGAGAGCUCGCCGCCGAUGUCGGAGCUGUCAACGGGGAAGACGAAUCCCCGAGCACUGGGGUGGAACCAGAGGCUAAGGAUUGGUAUUGCCUCCCCCAGCAAAACACCGCGCCUAAACCGAGGUAAGGCUGGGGUUGAGAACACAAGGUCUUGCCGUGGCCCAUAACGUUACAUUCUGUCUGGCUGCGGGGACAGGAACUUCACUUUUCCAUUCGACAAAAGGUUGCAAUUAUCCAGUUUUUCCUAGACAGAAGAGAAGCUGGGGCGGCGGCGUCCUUGCGUAGGAGGGCGGCGCCAUUGAAGACAUGGAAUUCUUUCUACAGCCGGUUAAAAGGUGAUGUAUCCCUAGACUCGUUCAAUUACGUAAGAUGAUAUAGCUGGAGCUGCAAUUUCUUAGAGAUUUCCCCCUCCCAACAUGUUAGGAUUCCAAUCCUUGAGGGGAUGGAUGGCACCGAUAGCCUGCUGGAUAUGGGGAAGUACGCCUGCCGACCCUUGGAGCUCCACUGCUGGCAGCCAUGAGUCAUAAGAAGUGGAAGUGAUGAGUGGGAGCCGUAGCUCCUAGAUGUGGAUGCCGGACCAGUUAACGGGAAGCGCAGCUCUCCGACUAUAUCUCAGCAAUCGAUGAGGAAGGUGAAUCCAGAGACUCUUGGAUGGACAAAUAGGGUCAGUAUUAAAUGUCGAGAGGACGAAAUGCAUGUAGGAAAUUAUUUGAGGUUGCGUGCUAAGUCUUGACGAUGCAAAAACCAGCAAAAAAGGUGAACUAGUUUGUGAAGGAAAUGAUUUUAAAUUUCUAUAUUGUUGAUAUACAGGGGAAGCAGGGUUAGAGAAUACACAGUCAUGCCGUUGUGAAUGCCCUGCACUGACCCAGUUGCUUAGGUCAGAGGACAAUGGUUUGUAAAUGUCUAAGCACAAGGAGAAAUACAAUCAUUCACUCUCUCCAAAUUGGCGGGAACUUGGGUUGUGACCAAGCGGAUGAUGAUGUGAGGAAAACGAUGGAAUUAUUUAAGGAGUUGGGUGCCAACAAUCCGUGGUUCACAUAUCGAGUUCAAGCAGAUUUGGAGGGCCGAAUAAAAUGUUUGAUGUGGAUGAAUGGUAGCAGCCAUUUGCGACUACAGGCGUCUGCGUGGUUUACAGGCGAGAUGAACCCUAGAGCUCUUGGCUGGACACAACAGUAUGUGCAUUCAGUGCUACAAAUUCCGAAAAAAGGUAACGAUUGGUGUGGCUGCGUAAAGGAGGACACCUUGUCCUAAUCGCCCAAGUUCGUUGGAGAAAGCAAUUCGUGGGUUCGCUGAGAAUCCAGGGGAAAAUGUGAUUGUACUGAAACUGGGUAUAAGAUUUGAUCUUUAGGUGAAGCAUACAACUUGUACUCCUGCGGGAAGGGGUUUGGUAUUACAUAUUGGAAAAGCAGACUAAAUGUUUAGAGGACAAAAUGCAGGCAGGAAAUCAUUUGCAGCUGUGCGGGAAGGCUGGCGUUGAGAACAGUCGGUCAUGCCAUUGUGAGUGUUGGGCUCUUAUACGAUUGUUGCGAUCGAAAGGCAAUGGUUGGUGCAUAUCAGAGCAUCGGGAGCAACACAUCCAAUCUUUGUCUCCUAAUUGCGGAGAGACAAUACACUGCCUUCACAGAAACACAUCGACGUUUACAACCGAGACUGGUGAAGCAGCUACGGCAAAAUAACGUCAAUCUAGCCAAGGUAUACAACAUCAUA